rnacentral:rRNA from 1 species
GAUGAACGCUGACAGAAUGCUUAACACAUGCAAGUCAACUUGAACUUCGGUUUGGGUGGCGGACGGGUGAGUAACGCGUAAAGAACUUGCCUCACAGAUAGGGACAACAUUUGGAAACGAAUGCUAAUACCUGAUAUUAUGAUUUUAGGGCAUCCUAGAAUUAUGAAAGCUAUAUGCGCUGUGAGAGAGCUUUGCGUCCCAUUAGCUAGUUGGAGAGGUAACGGCUCACCAAGGCGAUGAUGGGUAGCCGGCCUGAGAGGGUGAUCGGCCACAAGGGGACUGAGACACGGCCCUUACUCCUACGGGAGGCAGCAGUGGGGAAUAUUGGACAAUGGACCAAGAGUCUGAUCCAGCAACUCUGUGUGCACGAUGAAGUUUUUCGGAAUGUAAAGUGCUUUCAGUUGGGAAGAAAAAAAUGACGGUACCAACAGAAGAAGUGACGGCUAAAUACGUGCCAGCAGCCGCGGUAAUACGUACGUCACAAGCGUUAUCCGGAUUUAUUGGGCGUAAAGCGCGUCUAGGUGGUUAUAUAAGUCUGAUGUGAAAAUGCAGGGCUCAACUCUGUAUUGCGUUGGAAACUGUGUAACUAGAGUACUGGAGAGGUAAGCGGAACUACAAGUGUAGAGGUGAAAUUCGUAGAUAUUUGUAGGAAUGCCGAUGGGGAAGCCAGCUUACUGGACCGGAUACUGACGCUGAAGCGCGAAAGCGUGGGUAGCAAACAGG